UUUAGGAUCCUAUAAAAUAGAAUUGAUCUAUAAGUAGCUAAGUAGUGGAGUCUAAUUACUUUGUGAUUUUA
rnacentral:tRNA from 2 species